rnacentral:rRNA from 1 species
CACGUAAGAGGCAAGCGUUUUCCGGAAUUACUGGGCGUAAAGGGUACGCAGGCGGUCUAGCAAGUCAGAAGUGAAAGCCACCGGCUUAACCGGUGAAGUGCUUUUGAAACUGUUAGACUUGAGGAUAGGAGAGGAAAGCGGAAUUCCCGGUGUAGUGGUGAAAUACGUAGAGAUCGGGAAGAAUACCAAUGGUGAAAACAGCUUUCUGGCCUAGUCCUGACGCUGAGGUACGAAAGCUAGGGUAGCAAACGGG